UUGAUCCUGGCUCAGAAUCAACGCUGGCGGCGUGCCUAACACAUGCAAGUCGAACGCGAAAAUCCCGCAAGGGAUUAGUAGAGUGGCAAACGGGUGAGUUACACGUGGGUGACCUGCCUUCGAGUGGGGGAUAACGUCCCGAAAGGGACUCUAAUACCGCACGACAUCCUGCCUUUGAACAGGCGGAGAUCAAAGCUGGUGAUCGCAAGACCUGGCGCUUAAAGAGGGGCCCGCGUCUGAUUAGCUAGUUGGUGAGGUAACGGCUCACCAAGGCAACGAUCAGUAUCCGGCCUGAGAGGUCGGACGGACACACUGGGACUGAGACACGGCCCAGACUCCUACGGGAGGCUGCAGUGGGGAAUUGUUCGCAAUGGGCGCAAGCCUGACGACGCAACGCCGUGUGGAGGAUGAAGACCUUCGGGUCGUAAACUCCUUUCGAUCGAGACGAAUGGCUUCCGGGCUAAUCACCGGAAGAGUGACGGUACCGAGAGAAGAAGCCUCGGCUAACUCCGUGCCAGCAGCCGCGGUAAUAAGGU
rnacentral:rRNA from 1 species